AGUGAGUAUCGACAACAGCACGAGGCUUCAAAGGAUGAACGUAUCACAGACCUGUACCGAUCUCGGGGGUUGUAUCCCAGGAACAGAGGAAAUGAUUGCCUAACGCUGACACAAAUGAGAAAUUUGUAUUUCCCAUGAGACUUUGAACUAACAUAGAUGAGUGAUACUUCAGUAAAGUCAACUAAGACACCACUAUAUAGUUAACUAUUUAUUAAUUAUCCUACC
rnacentral:misc_RNA from 1 species